CUGAUGUGGGGAGAUGUCACAGGCUGUCAAGCAGAAAGUCAGGGCUGUCUGCAUUUUAAACCAAACUUCCAAUUUUCUUCUCCUAUCUUUCUCCAUUCUCACUGAAGCUGGAAAUUGAGUAUGGCACACUUAUGUGAAGAGGGAGGGAGGGGAAUAAAAGAUCUGUCUUUCAGCUCUGUAUGGGAAGCUGAGCAGAGAAAGACCACUUCAUGUAGCAAUGGUAGACAGGGAAGCAAAAAGAGCUGGUUUAAUGGCCUCAAAAAAAUUGCACAUGAGACAUUCCUUUGGUUCUACUUCCCUGGAGCUUUGAGAGUGACAGCUCUGGUGCUGCAGUUCCAGUGGAGACUUCUUUGGCUCACAGCUAUAGAAAGAAAGACUAUCUGUGACAAACCCAAGAUUUGUGCUGCGCAUCCUGGCAAUUCCCUGAACAGAUGUACCAUUCACCUCUCAAAAUCAGCAGGCAGAGGAAUGAAAAAUGGCAAGUCAACACAUUCAACAAUCCCUACAUGUGCAUCUCUUUAUCCUGUCUUCCUUCUCUCACCCCAACCGGUCCCAACAGAUGGCCCCGCCCCUCCCUGAGCCUGGUUCUGCUUGAGGUUUCUUCCUGUUAAAAGGGAGUUUUUCCUUCCCACUGUCGCCAAAGUGCUUGCUCAUAGGAGGUCAUAUGAUUG
ensembl:lncRNA